rnacentral:rRNA from 1 species
AUAUCAGUCAUGCAUAGCAUAUCAAUAAGCGGAGGAAAAGAAACUAACAAGGAUUCCCUUAGUAACGGCGAGUGAAGCGGGAAGAGCUCAAAUUUGAAAUCUUCAAGGUUUUACCUUGACGAAUUGUAGUUUAAAGAGGUGUUUUCUGUUGAAGUUUUGGUAAAAGUUCUUUGGAAUAGGACAUCAUAGAGGGUGAGAAUCCCGUAUUUGACCAUUACUUUCAGCUUUGUGAUACACUUUCAAAGAGUCGGAUUGUUUGGGAAUGCAGUCCAAAAUGGGUGGUAAAUUUCAUCUAAAGCUAAAUAUUGGCGAGAGACCGAUAGCGAACAAGUACCGUGAGGGAAAGAUGAAAAGAACUUUGAAAAGAGAGUUAAACAGUACGUGAAAUUGUCAAAAGGGAAGCGUUUGACACCAGUGUUGUUUUCUCGAAAAUCAAUUAAAAAGAGUUGGAUUUUGUGUUGUAUUGACUUUAUCAGCUUUCUUCACUCUUUUCCAGCUUUUUUUAAUGCACUUUUCGUUUAACAAGUCAACAUCAGUUUCUUUUGUUGUAAAAAGGUCAUUGGAAGGUGGCUUUCUCUUCGGAGAAAGUGUUUAUAGCCUUUGACUCAUGCAAUCGGAGAGACUGAGGUCUGCAGCGUAGAUCCUUCGGGGUUAGAUACAUUUGUGCUAAGUUAUAGCUUUUCAUAGACAACUUGUUGACUAUGUUUAGUCUUGUAGCUUACUCGCUUAUGCUAUUUUACCUACGCUUAGGAUGUUGAACUCUAUCACACACAG